rnacentral:rRNA from 1 species
UACCCGCAGCACAAGUGGUGGUCAUUAUUAUUGGGCCUAAAGCGUCCGUAGCUGGCUUGUUAGAUGCCUGGGUAAAUCGAUGCGCUCAACGUAUCGAACUCCGGGUAGACUGGCAAGCUUGGGACCGGGAGAGGCGUGAGCUACUCGGGGGGUAGGGGUAAAAUCCUGUAAUCCUCCGGGGAGGACCAGUGGCGAAGGCGUCACGCUAGAACGGCUCCGACAGUGAGGGACGAAGCCCUGGGGCGCAAACCGG